GCUCAAGGUUAAGAUUAGGCCAAGGAUGUUUAAUUCCUUCCACGAAAUUGAGUACGGUUCCUUAGAGCAGUUCCCACCUUUUUCGGAUUCUUAUAAUGAUUCAUUCGGAAAUAGUCGAGAGUUUACUGGAAAUAAGCCCCAACGUAUCAUGGGUGCAAGUCGUGAACAGUCCGAACGUUUUCGGACGAUGUGUGAUGAUUUUGAAUAAAGCAAUUUACUGUCUACUUCGAUAGGCUCUAUCCGAAAGGGGUGUAUGCCCUUUCAAGUAGAUGGUAGGUCAUUGGUCUACCGUGGAUUUUAUGGGUAACGGAGAAUAAGGGUUUAAUUCCAAUUUUGGAGCCUUGGUAACGGAAAAACGUCCAAGGAAGGCAGCAGGCGCGAAAAUUAUCCAAAGUGGAGUAUGUGAUAGUGAUUUUAAAUAUAAGGAGUCAUCCUUUUUGAUGAGUUAGUUCAAAGAGUUGAAUACAAACGAUUAUUGGAGUAACAAGGAGAGGGCAAGUCUCAUGCCAGCAGAUUCAUAAAAUCCAAUUAUCCCGGC
rnacentral:ncRNA from 1 species